UCCCUUGUGGCUCAGCUGGUAAAGAAUCCGUCUGCAAUGUGGGAGACCUGGGUUCAACCCCUGGCUUGGGAA
rfam:TPA: Bos taurus chromosome 7, whole genome shotgun sequence.